AUGGGAAGAACCAAUGUUAAUCCUGUUUGGCAUGAGAUUUGGAAAUUAUCCUGUCCAGCAAAGGUAAAGAUUUUCAUCUGGCGUACCUUACAUGGAACCCUCCUGUGCCAUGCCACACUUGCCAAUAGGCACAUAAAAGUAUCACCCACUUGUCCAUCAUGCUCCAAUGGGGCAGAAGAUAAACACAUUUUAUUCUUGUGUCAAAAGGCAAAAGAGGUAUGGGGCAAACUAGGAUUGCAUGAGGUGAUCAAUAAAGCUUGUGCUAUUGAUCGUGCGGGAGAGGCAGUUUUGGAGUUCUUACUGUUAAUGCCCAAACAAGACUUAGCAAUAAUGGGUUCUCAAAAAGAAAGUGAACUAAUCGCGGUUACAACUUGGUAUUUAUGGUAG
rnacentral:rRNA from 1 species